CUACGGGCGGCUGCAGUCGAGAAUCUUCCGCAAUGGGCGCAAGCCUGACGGAGCAAUGCCGCGUGGGGGAUGAAGGCCUUCGGGUCGUAAACCCCUGUCAGAUGGGACGAACUUUGACGGUACCAUCAGAGGAAGCCACGGCUAACUACGUGCCAGCAGCCGCGGUAAUACGUAGGUGGCGAGCGUUAAUCGGAUUUACUGGGCGUAAAGGGUCCGUAGGGGGUCUGCCAAGUCGGAUGUGAAAUCCUGGGGCUCAACCCUGGAACUGCAUUCGAUACUGGCGGGCUUGAGUCCGCGAGGGGUGAACGGAAUUCCUGGUGUAGCGGUGGAAUGCGUAGAUAUCAGGAAGAACACCGACGGCGAAAGCGGUUCACUGGCGCGGUACUGACCCUGAGGGACGAAAGCAUGGGUAGCGAACAGGAUUAGAUACCCCUGUAGUC
rnacentral:rRNA from 1 species